rnacentral:tRNA from 1 species
GUAGACAUAGUUUAGUGAAAAUUCUAGAUUGUGAUUCUAGAGAGAAAAGUUAGAACCUUUUUGUCCACC